rnacentral:rRNA from 1 species
UACAGAGGUCUCAAGCGUUGUUCGGAUUCAUUGGGCGUAAAGGGUGUGUAGGUGGCGCGCUAAGUCGGGUGUGAAAUUUCGGAGCUUAACUCCGAAACUGCAUUCGAUACUGGCGUGCUUGAGGACUGGAGAGGAGACUGGAAUUCAUGGUGUAGCAGUGAAAUGCGCAGAUAUCAGGAAGAACACCAAUGGCGAAAGCAGCUCUCUGGGACGGUACUGACGCUGAGACGCGAAAGCGUGGGGAGCGAACAGG